UUCUUUCAUCCCACAUUAAUUCAUAUCCUUCAUCAAUAUCUCAAGUGCUGCAAUGAUGGCUAUAAAUGAUCAAGAAAGCAAAAAAAGCCCCUAUUGACCUAGAAUUUUCUGUAAGUGUCCAGCUAGAUUAUUAUAAAUUAUGUAUCUUUUCAUCACUGGCCUUUUCCUUUGAUAUUUUACUGAAAAUUGGCCUGAGGCUUCAAAUCAUUUUGUACUGGUUUGAAAAAAAAUUUCAAGUAAUUAGUUGCAGUUUACCAUCUAUCAACUGCCAUCCCCACUCAAAACAAUUCCUCCUGCCCCACAGCCACUCCAAUGGACAAUGUCUUUCUCUUGGACCAGAUGAGUUCUGAAAUCCAAUCUAGUGUAGCCAUUGAUUCAUUUGGAUAGAGAAGACAAGAUUGAGAAACAGUAUAAACCAGAACACGUAACUGCCUUCCUGUAUGCCUCAGUGUCCUCAACAAAAGAGAAAGAAAGCCAGAAGAAAAGAAAGAGAGAGAGAGAGAGAGAGAGAGAACAAGAAUGAGGUAGAUAUCAUUUCUUCCAUCAAUUUGCAUUGCUGUCAUCACAAUGAAAAUGUGCUGGUCUUUCAUUUACAUUUUUGUUGAGUGUCUUAUUCAAUGAAAAGACUUUCAAAUAUGUGUAAACUAGAGUUUCUCACAAAAGGUGUUAAAAUGUAGAUUUUCAUAGACAUGAAAUAAGAAAAGCUUUCUAGCUUCAUUAAUAGAUGUAACUAUAAUUGCACAUUGCCAUUGGAAUAAGAGGCAAAGUUAGCAUCAUUCUGACAAGACCAAGGAUCUGAACAAAUCCAUAAAGAGAGACUAAUGUGACCUAGCCACAAACCAGACAUCUAACUCAGCUGGUCAGUUAGUCUACUGGUGUGUGCUGCCUUGAUAAAUGUUUCCCAUCCCAGUGUCUCUCAAAUCUGGAUUAGAUGCACUGCUACAUACUCACAUAGCAUCCUCUAUUUUCACUCCUAGAAUAAAAUUAUACAAUUGUAUUGCAAAACCCUACUUAUUUGUUUUCUUUCUCCAGUAAAUAUCAAGAAUUAUCUUCAUUCAUCAAUGUAUCUCUGAUGCAAUACCUACCAUGUAGCAGAGCUCAAAACAUUCUUGUUAAAGAGAAAAAUAAGUGUCUAACUUUUCACGAAAACAACUGAGCAGAUGGUUUGCUAUAACCCUUUUCCAUGCAGGAAAGGAUUUAAAGUGCUUGACUGACUAACAGUGGCUCAGUAAUAUCAUCUUUAAGUCUAAAAUAACAUACAUCACCAAUCAGGAGUGCUUAAAUCACAUCCUACCAAACACUGUCAUCAACGAUAAAUUUUUUUAAGGUCAUUUCUUUAUUGAACUAUAUCUAGUUUGCUGAAGAAAAAAAAACAAUAUUGGAGGGAAAACAGAUAGAAGGCAAGCUUUCUUUUUUCUUUUAUAAUUAACCAUGAAGAGACGCAUUUGUUUGCCCAAGCAUUCUAAAUAUUGCCUACAUGGUUUUUGGAAUAUUUUAUUUUUCCUUUGAAAUCAUUUUUAAAAAGAAAAGCAUUGCUUCUGAGAGUUACGAAAUCUCAAAGGCAGUUACAAAUUCAUUUAUCACUUUAGUGCAGGAAGAUAAACAAGGGUAUAGAGCAAAGACACUCCAUUAUGCUGUAGCAGAGCUACAUUUUAGCUUUGGCUUUGACUUUACUUGAGGAUCCUGUGCUAAUAGAAACAUUGAUCUUAUUUCCAACAUUGCUUUCCAGCAUUCUCCUAAGAUGCAAAUGCCUCUUCAGCUUUUGUAUUUGUCUCUAGGCAUGGAGAAUUAAAUCCACCUUGUGGUUAUGCAUAAACAUCACUGCCUAUUGGAUGCUUUUCUUGAUCACCAUGCUGAUCACACUUCACAGCAGACAGCCAAUCAUAGCCCUCCUCAAAGUGUGCUGUAAUUGUUUAUAUGUUUGAAUAAGUGGACUGUAAUAUGUGUGAGGUUUCCUUCAACUCACAUAGAAUUUUCAUAAACUUGCCUGGAUAGAAUCAGCUCACAAGAAAAUGAAUUAGAGUCUUAAAAGCAGGAAAUAAAUCCAAUAGCCUAAAGUAGUUUCUACAUAUUUCUUCUGCCCUUUCAAAGAGAACUUAAAAGAAUUCAAUCUAUCUUUUUUAUAUUAGGUCAAUCUAAUCUCUUUUAAUUGAAUUCAAGAUAAUUCAACCUAACUCUCUCCAUUUACUAUUAUACUUCUGUUAGACAAUUUUCCUCAUGUACUUAUUUGUUCCUUUAACACAUUCUACUUACAGUCUUCCUUUAACCCACUUAAAAAAGAUACUAAUACAAAUAUACUACAGCCAGACUAUCAAGAAGCUUGAAGCACAGUGGAGAGGACAUGCACAAAAACUGCAGUACAAACAGCCUGUACAAGUAGACACUUAGACACAGGGUGUUCCACAAACCUGGAGGAAAGCACAGAAAUCUUGCAGAUUGUGGGUUGGCUAGUUAUGCUUGCCAGGGAAAUCUUCCAAGAGGAGCUAAUGCUUGAGCUGUAUCUAAAGGCUGAGUAGGGAUUUUCUGUCUGGAUAAGGUAGGAAGGGGAAUACAGACAAAGAGUAUCACAUAGGAGGUCUUGGAGAGCAGAGUAUGCUUUGAAAACAGGUGAAGUAUGUGUCAGGAAAAGUUUGGAAGUUACUUAACGUGUAACUGGGGACAAAAGCAUGAAGGGCCUUGUAUCCCUGCUGGGUAGUUUUGAACUUGAUCUUAUGGGGAAUCGAUGGUCAAUGCAAUAUUUAAGCACAACUGGGACAUAUUCAAUUUGCAUCUUAGAAUGAUCACUUUAACAUAAACAUAUAGCAAUGUUUUGCAAAGAAAAUUUCUAGGGAACUUUGUAUAUUAAAAGUCAUGACUUAAAAUUAUUUCUGGUCAAAUAAACUUUGGAAAUGAUAGGUUAAGCAUACUUAACAAUUUUUAAGACUUCUCAAAAAUCUUUAACUUCCCUAUCUUUGUUUUGUUUCUCCAAGAAAAAGAACAUGUAACUUUUCCCAAGCCCAUUUCAUGAAGAAAUCUUUGGAUUUUUCUCUCACCAAAUAUCUCAUGGGAUUAAGGUUCCAAGUAGACACCUUGGAAAAUGCAGGUGUAUAGGAUAAAUUGGGGAGUUUCAAUGAAGUCAAUGAGAUCACUUACAAGAAUAUUAUAUGAGUUCUAUCAGGAGAUUAACAGUAGUAAGAGAUUAGCAGUGGUAAGGGCAUGGAAAAGACAAACCAAAUGAAGUUCGGUUAUAGGAAUGGCAAGAAAGGCCACAAUGGUCCCAGGCUUGGUUUGGUGAAUCACUUUGAUCCCUGAGGUACUAACUUCUUAGAGUCUCAGAACUUAACCUGCUGGAACUUUGUUAGAAGGGGCUACUUUAAUCCUAACUAUAACAUCUCCCUUCUUUUUAACAUAAGGAAAUCGAGUUCCCAAUAUGACUGAUCAGGAUCAAGAAUCAUCAGCUCUCCACGCUUUUCAUAUUUUCCCUGGAGAAGAGCCAGGAUGUGAAUAUUUAUAAACACUGAAUAAUCACCAAACAAGGUAUGUUUGUCUUUGGAUUAUAUUUCUUUGCUGGUAUUUGAAUAGAGCUCCAUGUGACAUUUAGGGAAUUGAUGAUGCUCUAAUAAAACUAAUGAAGUCCACUGUCAAGACUUGCUCUGAAGGAGCUGGAAAGCUGCCUAGCAUUUUUAUCCUGUCCAGCUGAGUUCCUUCUCACUUCCUGCUCUGCGUUGGGGAGAGAGAGUAGCACCUUCCAGGCAAGGCUGCCUGAGUUCGCACUGGGCACAAUGCUUUUUCUCAGUUCAGUCUAUGAGGCACAUAACAUAUUUUGGGAAGGGGAUCAAGGGAUAAUUAUGUAUUUUGGCUUUAGUAGAAUUGUACCAUGGCUAUGCAAUUAUUCCUUCAAGUGGCCACUUUUAGGAAUAUUGGGUGCUAAAUGAUUGCAUAUUAUUAUAGUUUCUAUUGUAAAUAUGUAUAUGAAAGGGCAUUUAAAAUCCAGUAGCAAACCACUAGUAAAUUUCUGUGAUUUUAGUUGAAAUGAUACACAAUCUUUCUUUUUGAGCACAGUGGACACAGAAGGAAUAUUUUUCGGUGCUCUUCUUCCUGCUCCAAAGAGCCGCAUCAACAGACCCAUGUCAGUGCUCUUACUCACUGGCCGAAUGGGACUUUGAUCCUGCCACAGUUAAGAUCAAAGGGUUGAGAUGCCUUUGAAACGACUCUCCAGUCAUAAAUUCCACAUUUGAAAUAUCUUGAUGUCAUAGUCUCCCGGCUGUUCUCUCUGCUCUGUGUUUUCUGGUAGCUUUCAAUUUCCUCUGACAAAAAUAUUAUUUUGCAUAGUGUAUCCCGGGCAUUUUCAUUCAUUGGUGGCAGUUUCUGAAGGGUGUUAAUUGGAAUACAAGCCACUUUCCUUGGCUGUUAAAAAUUACUCAAAGUCAAAGACAAUCAACUUACUCUAUUCUCAUGCAUUUUCCAUUCUGGUAAAAAUGUUUAUGACUUGCUUUUACUCAAGAUUAAUAAGAAGGCAAGGGAACUAUCAUUGAGACACACCCGAUUCACUUAAGGAUCUGCAAUCUUCAUACUAAAGGACUUAAUUUGGUUUCUCAUUGGGAAGGAAGAAAGGGAGGGAGGGAGAAAAGAAAGGACUGUCUGUAAAUAUUGAGAAAGGAAGUAUAAGAACUAAGAAGCAAAAACAUUCUAGGAAACAGCCCUUGUACACUAGGAAAAACAUUUCACAUUGUUAUUCCAUAAACCUUGAAUCACUUAUUUUUAGUCAAUACAUUAUUAAAAUGAAUAUCUUCCCUACUUAGAAAAAAUGCUUUUUUAAAAAAACUACCAAUUUUUUAUCAAGAAAGGUAAAAUCUUUAAUUAUUUUGAAAUGUUUUACUUCAUUUUCUGGAUGAUCAUGGCUAUACCUAAAAAAGAAACUGAAGCAAAUAGGUGAAUAUUUUCAAAAUUUAGCUGUUAAUUAAAUGGUUACACUUAGGAAUGCUUCUCAGCUCCAUAGGUUAAACUUAUUCUGGAGUCAUUGACAAAAAGUGUGUGUUUCAUGACUGAACAUUAUUCAAUACCUGGAUUAAAUACAGCCUGUCUAUAAAAAUUUUCCAAAUUCCUAAUCUACAGAGGGAAAAUUGUGCCUGACCUAUUUUGGGUUUAUAUUCCACCUGGGAGUAUCCAUAGAUAAAUACACAGAUAGAUAUAUAGAUAGCAUUAAUUAUACUUCUUGCAAAACUGAAAUGAAUGUCUAUAUCUAUAGGAAACUACCUCUAGAUGUUCCACAAUGACAGGAAUGAAUCAUUCCUACUUCUAUCCCCUGUGCCUAAACAGAGCCUAGUACCAUAGGCAAGAGGAGAGCUUGGGAGAUGAGCCAUUUCAGGAGGGCUGGGGUGAAACCAAGCCCUGGUGCCACUCAGAGUGGAGAAGCUGGAGGUGAGAAGUGCACCGGGUCGGGAGCCACGAAGCUGACUAUACUACUGUGAAAAAAAUAGGCCAGGAAAAAACCUACCUCCCAGAAAGAAAGACCCUUCAAGGAAAACGUAUUCUCCCCAUAUGGUUCCAGAGGGAAAACGGACAUACAAUAAAGAGGACUAAUACAUUCAAUAUAUGUAUUAAUAUAUUGACUAAUAUAUGUGGUUAGGUAUUGACUAAUAGAUGUGUUAAUAUAUUGACUAAUAUAUGUAUUAAUAUAUGUAGUAAUAUUUUUAAUGUAAAAAUUAUAAAUUUAUAA
rnacentral:lncRNA from 1 species